rnacentral:tRNA from 1 species
AUUUGCAUAAUGAUUUAUCAAAGAACAAAAAAUUGGAUUUACCUAGUGAAUAGAAUAUAGUUAAAAAAAAAAU